GACGUAGGGUCCGAGCGUUGUCCGGAAUUACUGGGCGUAAAGAGCUCGUAGGUGGUUUGUCGCGUUGUUCGUGAAAACUCACAGCUUAACUGUGGGCGUGCGGGCGAUACGGGCAGACUUGAGUACUGCAGGGGAGACUGGAAUUCCUGGUGUAGCGGUGGAAUGCGCAGAUAUCAGGAGGAACACCGGUGGCGAAGGCGGGUCUCUGGGCAGUAACUGACGCUGAGGAGCGAAAGCGUGGGGAGCGAACAGG
rnacentral:rRNA from 1 species